GGUGUGGAAAAACUUCCAUGACAGGUCUCCACGUGGUAGCUUGGGGGCAGGCACAGGGCCCGGAUGAUAGCCCCUGUCGAAGAUGGCCUCCACGGCCAGCUGUUUACUUGGCUGUGGAAUCUUUGUUCCUGGGUUUCUCUGUACAAGGAGCGGGUUGUGCUGGCUGGCAGAAGACGUAGCCGGCAGAAGAUCGAGUCACUGCCCUGUUUCUGAGGCCUGGACUCAUUCUCGCUUCUUGGCCCCCUUUCUCACAGCAUCACCCUCAUUGUUCUGUCAUCUGAGGAGGGCACCUCGGAGCUGAGGCUGGAGAGGCUACUCCAGAUGGUGUUUGGGGCCAUGGUGAGACUCCCUAAGCCCUCUUCCCCAAACCCAGGAACCUGACUUCUCAGUAUCCUCCUCCCUCACGCCAGGAGUCCAGAUCCCCAGCCCCUCCUCUCUUAUUUGCUUCUUCUAGGUUCUUCUUGUGGGGCUUGAAGAACUGACCAAUAUCCGCAACGUAGAGAGGCUGAAGAAGGAGUUGAGGGUGAGGCUUCAGGACGUGAGGAUGGAAGUUAGCUUGCCCCGUCGCUGAUAUUUGGGAACUACAGUUCCCAGCAGCCUCUGCGGCGGCCUGGUCAUCUGACCCCAGAGCUAGGCUCCGCGGGGCUAGUUUUCUAAAGGGGAGGCGGCAGAUCUGGGGGCCAUCCGGGUCCUUAAGCCCCUUCCUUCUCCCCUCUGCUAGGCCAGUUACCGCCUCGUUGACAGUUUCCUGGGGGACUCUGAGCGCAUCGGGGACCUGACCCAGUGUGUGGACUGUGUGGUUCCUCCAGAGGUGUCUCUCCUGCAGGUACUGAGGAUGCCUGGGAACCCUUGAACCUGUCACUGUGGCCCUGGCUUAGUCCUGAUCCUCUUACCUCCGGGCCUUUGCCUCAACCUCUUCCCAUCCUCUGGGCCAACCCCAACCCCCCACUUGGCCCCAGAAGGGUCUUUCUACACCCAGGGCUGACCCCGCCCCUCCCCAGCUCACAGCCCUCCGGUGGCUCUCAUCGCCCCCAGGACCAGCUUCCAUGCCCUCAGCCUGGUGUUUGAGGACCUGUGGGAUCUGAA
rnacentral:lncRNA from 1 species